AAAGCAAGUAGCAAGUCCAGGAAGACACAUUGUGAAUAAGGAAACAGAAAAACAAAGCCCACUUGAUUGGUCCGUACACUACAAGCUUCAAGAGGGAAAGGGAACAGGACAACAAACAACCAACUAUAUUUCAACUGGAGUUAUGGAAGAGCACCAGGGGAGCAGUGAAAUCCAUGUAGAGCAUGGAAGCCCAGGAUACAUCCAUAGAGAGGAAAGCAGCAUCCUGCCUCUGCCACUGUUUCCCCUGAUAUGUUUGGCUUGAAGCCAAGAGGGACUAUUUUAUAGAGAAAAAAAAAAAAAAAGCUGAGGACCCUCAAUGGUUCACAUCACUGUUGAAAAUGCAAACAUUCAUCUAUCGGAGGGUGUCUCAGUCCUCACAGCCCCAGAAUCCAGUUUGUACAAUUAAGAGUCCAAAGGACUGCAUUGUCCCAGAAUAGAAACCCUCUUUGCAGUCCCCACCCUGGCAACCUAAGCUUCUUUGGCAUGGUGCCCUUUACAAACCAGAGCCGCAGCUGGAGUGUAUUUUGCCCAGGGAGCCAAUAACCACUGAACACCUCCAUCUCUGAGGUCCCAUCAUCAUUCCACUGUGUUCAAGAGGGGUAGCUGCAACACCACUACCCAGGCCUCCCAGAGCCUAGCCCCAAAGAACGACUGAGACACUGGCCUCCCAACUCAUAAGGCAUGCUAUUCACCAGGAAAACAGGUGAACCUGCACAGUGAUGUCUAAUAGUCACCCUGGCCUCCACGUGUUUGUUUCUACAGCCAGUCUUAUAGACACCCCAGGGGCAGCCUUGCCUCCAAAGACAAUGAUGCAUGGCAGCCUGGCUCAAAUGUGCUCAUGCCUGGCAUGAGAGCUAUUCUGGUGGCAGCCCUGCACCCUAAAAAGGCUGCUGCACAGACAUCCUCUCGUGUCCCCAGACCAGCAACCAACCUGGUGACCCUACCCCAGCAAAAUCAUGACACCGUGACCUCAUAUAAAAUGUUUAAAAUACUGCUAUAAUUGGAAACAAAAUAAUAAUAUGUAUUAUGAAAACACAUGAAAGUAUGCAACUCAUCAGUAUAGUUAAAUUCAUAAAUAUUCUCAGAAUAUCUUAGAGCUGAAAUGGUGCUCUGUAACACUUUCAAAUCUCUAGUAUAAAUAUUUAACAUCAAAAUGGUCCAAAAAAAUAGCUACAAUCAGUGACUAAGAAACACACUAUAAAUGAAAAUGUAAAUUAGGGCAACAAGAAUAUAAAUGAUCUGUGUGGGAUGAAAGUUUACAGUAUAUUUUUGCAACCAAAAUGAAGUUGUUUUCAGCUUAAAGUAGUCUAUUAAAACAAGACUUUUUGUAUUAGCCACAUGGUAACCACAAAGAAAAUUACAGCAAAUGUACAAACGAGGAAAAGAAAGAAAGCAGUUUAGCCCUGCAGAAAACUACGAAAUCAUAGAGGAAAUCUACAAGAGAGGAAGAAAGGAACAAAUGAUCUACAAUCAGAAGACAAUUUUUGGAA